GCUCUGGUGGCACGACAACCAAGCACUCAGCUGCUAACUGAAAGAUCGGUGGUUCGAAUCCACCCAGCAGCU
rnacentral:tRNA from 1 species